GCGGAGGAGCAUGUGGUUUAAUUCGAUGAUACGCGAGGAACCGUUACCUGGGCUCGAACGUAAGAUGACUGUAGGUGAAAGCUUACAUCUCUUCGGAGCAUUUUACGAGGUGCUGCAUGGUUGUCGUCAGCUCGUGCCGUGAGGUGUCGGGUUAAGUCCCAUAACGAGCGCAACCCUACCUUUAGUUGCCAUCAGGUAAUGCUGGGGACUCUAAAGGAACUGCCUACGCAAGUAGUGAGGAAGGCGGGGAUGACGUCAAAUCAGCACGGCCCUUACGUCCAGGGCUACACACGUGCUACAAUGGCCGAUACAGAGGGCAGCUACCUGGUGACAGGAUGCAAAUCUCCAAAGUCGGUCUCAGUUCGGAUCGGAGUCUGCAACCCGACUCCGUGAAGUUGGAUUCGCUAGUAAUCGCGCAUCAGCCAUGGCGCGGUGAAUACGUUCCCGGGCCUU
rnacentral:rRNA from 1 species